UGCAUUCUUAAUGAGUUCAAUUGUUCAUCUUAGUAGAUAGGCCAAUUCUUAUAACACACAUAUAAACAAGACUCAUCAAAUAAUAGAUCCAACUACAAAUACCUAUGGCGGGCAUAUCUAUUGUCUGGAUUCAAGAUCUAGUUAAUUACUCUAGAUCUAACAUUAAACAUAAUUAAAGAUGAAGAAUUCUACAGAUAACCUAGCAAAGGGGGCAAUCUACUAAACCAUAUGAAUCCCUAAUGAGAAACCCUAUUCCUAACAAGCAGAUUACUCAAAUAUAUUGAUUGAAG
rnacentral:sRNA from 1 species